UACGAAGGGGGCUAGCGUUGCUCGGAAUUACUGGGCGUAAAGCGCACGUAGGCGGAUUGUUAAGUCGGGGGUGAAAUCCUGGAGCUCAACUCCAGAACUGCCUUCGAUACUGGCGAUCUCGAGUUCGGGAGAGGUGAGUGGAACUGCGAGUGUAGAGGUGAAAUUCGUAGAUAUUCGCAAGAACACCAGUGGCGAAGUCGGCUCACUGGCCCGAUACUGACGCUGAGGUGCGAAAGCGUGGGGAGCGAACAGG
rnacentral:rRNA from 1 species